UACGGAGGGUGCAAGCGUUAUCCGGAUUCACUGGGCUUAAAGGGCGCGUAGGCGGGCCGUCAAGUCAGGGGUGAAAGCCCCCAGCUCAACUGGGGAAGUGCCUCUGAUACUGGCGGCCUCGAGGGAGGUAGGGGCGUGCGGAACUUCCGGUGGAGCGGUGAAAUGCGUAGAUAUCGGAAGGAACACCGGUGGCGAAAGCGGCGCGCUGGACCUCUUCUGACGCUGAGGCGCGAAAGCCAGGGGAGCGAACGGG
rnacentral:rRNA from 1 species